AAUAUAGUGCCUGAUUUAAAAGGAUAGCUUUGAUAGAGCUAAUAAUGUAUUUCUUAUACCUAUAUUA
rnacentral:tRNA from 1 species